rnacentral:tRNA from 1 species
GGGCGGUUAGCUCAGCUGGCUAGAGCGCUUCGUUUACACCGAAGAGGUCACAGGUUCGAGUCCUGUACCGCCCA